ACCAUUUCUCUUCUCCAAAUUGAAAAAAAAACUCUAAACUAGAAGUGGACUACUUAGCCAUCGAUUCUCCCGAGUUCUCUUUCUCGACGCUGACAGCCCUUCCUACCGCGACACCACCGCUGCUGCUAUUGUUUCAGCUGGUGACCGCUGCCGUCGCUCGCUAAGUUGCUUCACUUUUAAUUUGCACAAAAAAGUUUUAAACUUUGAAGUCUUUACUAAAAGUUUCAGAAACGAAAAGGGUUUGGAAAUGUUGUUGGUUGCCUCGCUGCCGCUGGUCUACCGAGGGCAGAAACUCCGGCUCGAGGUGGAGAACUAGUUGACAAACCACAAGCUUCAUUCUGAUUCAGUGGUGGGGCUGAGGUACCAUGGCAAUAGCCUCGGGCUGCCCUCUGUUUCCAAAUUUCGCACUAGACAUAUACCCUCUGUUAGCCGUAUGAUUCUGAGGGUGGGGGCUAUGGUGCUCGUGACUCCCCUAAGGCAUUGCCGCUGGAUGAUAAAGUGGCCAAUGGUGGUGCAAGGCACAUUGAUUUUGCCAAUACAUCAGGGAAUUGUUAUGACAGAGUCGUUGUAUGGCACCGUGAUUCUGCUUAUGAUGAGUCAUCUGAAUCUGUCACUAACACGGAAGUAAACUCCACCCCCGAAACAACCAGUAGCAACAGCGUCUCACUGGAGAAACGGAACAAAAUAUGCAAACCAAGAGACAGUGGUCUAGGAAACUGGUAUGCUGAUGCAUCUGUCCGUGUAUGCCUCCACUCGUGGUUAAGGGGGGCUGUAUGGGAGCUCCUCCCUUUUAAAAAAAUGAAAGUUCAAUGCUGAGGGAUGCAUUUGGGUGAGAUAAUCUCUGGAUUUUGUUUUUAAUUUUCAGAUGAUUAGUUAGCUUCCAAAGCAUAUCUUGGUUUCUUUUGCACGAAAGAAUGAUAGUUAAAAGCGUAUAUCAGCAUUACAUUAUCUUUCCUUGUUAAAUUUGUAGGUUAAGAAAUAUACUAUUAAAAUCAGAAGAAGAGCUGGUGAGGGAAGAUCAUUCUGAACUUGCCUGUGAAGGCGCUUUUGUAAAGUCUAAGAAAACCAUCAGGAAGAUUAAAGUUCAAGGUCUAUAUGUGGUAUUGCAAGAAAAUUGAUUUCUGCUUCUUGUGUAUGGCUUGUAUUUAACUGUACAAAGUUUUUCUAUUAUUUUUUAGUUCGUAAAGUGAAAACACGGAUGGAGUGGAACCUGUAGAAAUCACG